rnacentral:lncRNA from 1 species
AAUAAUUGUGUAUCUGCUAUAGGGUGUUCUAUAGGAUCCCGUUGUUUGGUAAUCAUGUAUCUACUAGGGAGCGUUCUAUGGGAUCCCCUGUUGGGUCUAUAGGAUCACCUGUUGUGCAAUAUUCGUGUAUCUGCUAUAGGGCGUUUUAUAGGAUUCCCAGGGCGGUCUAUAGGAUCCCCUGUUCGUUGUUCAUGUAUCUAUAACAGGGUGUUCUAUACGAUACCCUGGGCGGUUUAUAGGAUCCCCGGGU